UACGUAGGGUCCGAGCGUUGUCCGGAAUUACUGGGCGUAAAGAGCUCGUAGGCGGUUCGUUAAGUCUGCUGUGAAAGCCCUGGGCUCAACCUGGGAACUGCAGUGGAUACUGGCGGACUAGAGUGUGAUAGAGGAUGGUGGAAUUCCCGGUGUAGCGGUGAAAUGCGUAGAGAUCGGGAGGAACACCAGUGGCGAAGGCGGCCAUCUGGAUCAACACUGACGCUGAGGCACGAAAGCGUGGGGAGCAAACAGG
rnacentral:rRNA from 1 species